rnacentral:rRNA from 1 species
GUAGUCCUGGCUGUAAACGAUGUCGACUUGGAGGUUGUGCCCUUGAGGCGUGGCUUCCGGAGCUAACGCGUUAAGUCGACCGCCUGGGGAGUACGGCCGCAAGGUUAAAACUCAAAUGAAUUGACGGGGGCCCGCACAAGCGGUGGAGCAUGUGGCUUAAUUCGAUGCAACGCGAAGAACCUUACCUGGUCUUGACAUCCACAGAACUUUCCAGAGAUGGAUUGGUGCCUUCGGGAACUGUGAGACAGGUGCUGCAUGGCUGUCGUCAGCUCGUGUUGUGAAAUGUUGGGUUAAGUCCCGCAACGAGCGCAACCCUUAUCUUUUGUUGCCAGCGGUCCGGCCGGGAACUCAAAGGAGACUGCCAGUGAUAAACUGGAGGAAGGUGGGGAUGACGUCAAGUCAUCAUGGCCCUUACGACCAGGGCUACACACGUGCUACAAUGGCGCAUACAAAGAGAAGCGACCUCGCGAGAGCAAGCGGACCUCAUAAAGUGCGUCGUAGUCCGGAUUGGAGUCUGCAACUCGACUCCAUGAAGUCGGAAUCGCUAGUAAUCGUGGAUCAGAAUGCCACGGUGAAUACGUUCCCGGGCCUUGUACACACCGCCCGUCACACCAUGGGAGUGGGUUGCAAAAGAAGUAGGUAGCUUAACCUUCGGGAGGGCGCUUACCACUUUGUGAUUCAUGACUGGGGUGAAGUCGUAACAAGGUAACCGUAGGGGAACCUGCGGCUGGAUCACCUCC